GACAGAGGAUGCAGAGUCUCGAAUCGGAUUGGUGCGUAAAGCGUCUGUAGGUGGCUUUUUAAGUCCGCCGUCAAAUCCCAGGGCUCAACCCUGGACAGGCGGUGGAAACUACCAAGCUGGAGUACGGUAGGGGCAGAGGGAAUUUCCGGUGGAGCGGUGAAAUGCGUAGAUAUAGGAAGGAACACCAGUGGCGAAGGCGACCACCUGGACUGAUACUGACACUGAGGUGCGAAAGCGUGGGGAGCAAACAGG
rnacentral:rRNA from 1 species